rnacentral:rRNA from 1 species
UAAUACGGAGGGUGCAAGCGUUAUCCGGAUUCACUGGGUUUAAAGGGUGCGUAGGUGGGCAGGUAAGUCAGUGGUGAAAUCUCCGGGCUUAACCCGGAAACUGCCAUUGAUACUAUCAGUCUUGAAUACCGUGGAGGUAAGCGGAAUAUGUCAUGUAGCGGUGAAAUGCUUAGAUAUGACAUAGAACACCAAUUGCGAAGGCAGCUUACUACCCGAAUAUUGACACUGAGGCACGAAAGCGUGGGGAUCAAACAGGAUUAGAUACCCUGGUAGUCCACGCCCUAAACGAUGGAUACUCGACAUACGCGAUACACAGUGUGUGUCUGAGCGAAAGCAUUAAGUAUCCCACCUGGGAAGUACGACCGCAAGGUUG